rnacentral:lncRNA from 1 species
UUCUUUAACGCAUAUUCACAGAUGAGGAGGUGAAUCGUGGGGUGUGUUAAUGGUACAAACUUGCUUUUUGGUGGAGAGAACCUGAUGCCCCCCUUUUGAUGUAUGAGUGGGUGGUGCUGUUUCUUUCUUCUCUCAUCUCUCUCUUCUUCUUCUUCUUCUUCUUCUUCUUCUUCUUCUAUCUCUUUUUCUCUCUUUUCUUCUCUCUUCCUUCCUCCAAUCCCUUCUCUGCAACUAGCUACCUUCUGCUUCUAAUCAGGUCUGUCUCUUGUAAUUUUCUUCUUACUUUUUUCUUCUUUAAAUUUUUUACUUUUUUCUCAGCUGGGUUUCCUCCUUUCUUGACCCACCUUCUCUUGCUUGUUUCGAUAAAGAUCGGCUUCUCGCUUGCGAUUUGAUUCUUUCUUUCUCCUCGCAAAGCUGAACUUGGGUUGAUUUGAUUUCACCGAUCCUAUUUUCCCUUUUCUUCAUUUUGACUGUAACUGGAGUGGUUAUUAUCUCAGUCAAGAGAAAACCGAGGAAUCUGAUCUUGGAUUUUCGGCUGGAUUUCAUUUCUGGGUUGGGUGGCUUACUAUUGUAGGGAGACUCAGCAGAUUCGGGGUGGCUUCCUGCCUUCCUUCUUCCUGUAGCUAAUCUGCAGUCUUCUUCCUUGUUGAAGCCUUUUAUUUUGCGGGUUGAGCUUGGCUUCUCUCUUGUCUUCUACCCAUUUGUUCAGUUUUCUCCUCCUUUCUAGUAAGAUUUCUUGUUGAGCUCUGAGAUUUUCUAUUUAUAGAAAUCUCUUGCUACAUAUAAUUUUCUUCAUCAUUAUCCUAUGAUUCUUUGGUCUACAAGAUUUGAUCUCUUGAGCCGUGGUAGUGGAUGAUGUGGUGGCAGCUUCUUUGUUCGCAUAAUCUCAAUUUCGAGUUCCUUUCUUUUUCUCGGAUUACCCACAUAAAAUAACAUUCCACGAACUCUUUAGGGACUAAAUCAACGUCUUUGCUUGUGGAUUUUUC